AUAUAUAUAUAUAUAUAUAUAUAUAUAGAGAGAGAGAGAGAGAGAGAGAGAGCUAGGCUGGUAUACUAUCGGUAGUACGGAGGCCUCCGUGCUACCAAGUUGUUUUCAAUGAUGCGGCUUCCAAAUCGACGAUCAGCUCCGUUAGACAUGAUCUACACUAUUAAAAGUAUUAGGAAACUAAAUUGCAUAAUUUUUUGGCAUCAUUUACCUAUCAAAAGAGUAGUCUAAAAAUGAACGGCUAAAAAUAAAAAUCUCAUAAAAAAUGAUGAUAAAAAACUUGAAUUUAAGAUCAAAGGUACUGAUCUUACUCUAAAUAGUGAAAAGAAUUUUCUAUAAAAAUUUCAUCAAAUUUGGAUUAUUUUACACCUUUAAAUUCACAAACGCAUCACAUCUACCAUUAAAAUUGUCAAUUUUGAGACCUUUUGAUCACUAGCCAAAUUAUGUCGAAAAAUUAUGAAAUUUAGUUUCCAAAUACUUUUAAUAGUGUAGAUCAAGUCUAACGGAGCCGAUCGUAGAUUUGGAAGCCGCAUCAUUGAAAACAACUUGGUAGCACGGAGGCCUCCGUGCUACCAAUAGUAUACCAGCCUAGCUCUAUAUAUAUAUAUAUAUAUAUAUAUAUAUAUAUAUAUAUAAUUUGGCCGGAAUGCUUCUAAUAGUGUAACAUACCGAACUUCUAUAGUUAUGAAGUUACGAUGUAUGUUAGCUUGGAAAGCCAUUCGAAUGGUUUCGGUGAAGUUCGGGAGCAUUUGGGUGUUUUCGGUGCGCGUCGGGCGCAAAAACGAAACCCGAAAAGCUAUGAUUGGACCUUGGCAGAAAUCCGGCAAGGCGUGGAUGAAAAGAUGGUUUGAAAGCGCUCGAAAACAUAUUUUGGGAGUCUCGGUGCGAUUUGAGGCGAAUCGGAGACCCAUGGAGCAAAAACAAACGAAAACGGACCAAAAUUGGCGAAAAGGCUGAAAUUUUGGCUAAGUCUGGAAGUGCAGAAUUUUUGGACCUACGGGGUCCGGUCCCUGAAGCCAAGGACCGGUCCCCGAAGCCCGAAAAUGCCCAAAAUGAGCAGGGCACUAUGGUAUUUUGUGGGGGGCUUGCAUUGUUGAGGGGGCUUUUGGCAUUUUAUGCAAAUGGGGGUUAAAAGGGAGGUGGAGAGAGCUCAUUCCUCUCUCUCUCUCACACUUGCAACCCAAAAUAUUUCCCUCUCUCUCUCUCUAAGCUCUCUCAUUCUCUCUCUCUUGAAAGAGGAAGACAAGAAGGGGAUUUGGAGGAGAUUAAAGCUUGGAGGAGAAGCUUCAUCUUCUUCAUCUUCUUCAUCUUCUUCCUCUCCAUUGGAGCUAACUUGAGAGGUAAGCUUGUAGAGUUUUAAUAGUAGAUCUCUAGGCCUUUGUUUGUAUGCUCUAGAAUUGAUUUGGAUGGAACCUUUAGAUGCUAAAUGGAUACUUAUUGCUUGAAUCAGGUGGUGGAAUGGGUUUCUUGCAAUAGUAGCAAACCUAGGGUUCCAAAUGGAGUUUUACUAAAUGAUGGGGUUUGAUCUAAAUUAACCCUAUGUAAACCUAAUUGCUAGAUAUUUUAACGCGUUGGCGAAGUCGGCUCGGCGGUUCAUCGAGCCUACGCGAAGAAGUCGAAGAAAAGGCCUGUUUUGGUACAGAUUGCCGCAGUACGCGGCAUAGGCUUCCAAAAAUCACGAAAUCGGAUUCGUGGACUCGUGGCAUCACCUAAAGGUGGGGGGUGUCAUCCCGAAGCAAUUGGGCUUCCUUCUAUGUCCGAGUUAGAUUGUUGAUCAUGUUCACGCAAGUUUCUUAUGCAUUAUAGGAUAUAUGUUAUAAUUGCAUUCUAUUUCCUUGCAUGCUUGCUUAGUAGUGUAACAUCGUGGGCUUGACACAUGAAUCUAGGGGGCAUGAGGAUUUGGUCGUGUGCCAUGAGAUCCUAUAGUGAAAAGAAUAUGGUGAACUUGGACAUGAUGAUGAAAACCAAGGACAUGUGAACUAGUGUAGUGGAAACACUUAUUACUUGGACGAGUGCCAUGUAAACUAGUGUGGUUGAGACACACACUACUUAAUGAUGUAAACGAGUGGCAUUAAACCUAAUGUAUAAACUUAGGUUGAGAAUUGAACCUAGAGUCGAAUAAACCUAGGUUAAGAGAUGAGUGACAUUGAACCUAGAGUCAAGUGGACCUAGGAGGAAAAUGACAUUGGAUCUAGUGUUGCAGAACCUAGGUUAUGAGCAUAAUAACACUGAACCUAAAGUAUUAAACUUAGGUUGAGUAAUGGUGAAUUUAGGGAUAGAUGGAUUUCCCUAACUAUGAUACAUUACAUGAGAAUUUAGUGUAGUUGAGACACUGGCAUUGAACAUAGGGAUAGGUGGAUUCCCGAGUGUCAGUUAACCCUAGUUGACAGGGUAUCCUCAGUGAGCGAGGAUUGGAUCAUACUCACAUAGUCUGUUUUGACCUUGGGGUGGUCGCUCUAUACAAGCAGUGCACUCCGGAGUUGUCACACGAGCAGGGUAGCUCACCAGGUGGGACACGAGCGGGGUAGCUCCUCACCUAUUGGACUGGGACGUGAGUUGGGGCGAAGGGCGGAGUAGCCCUUCACCUAUGAGAUUUGAGAUUGGAGUUAGGGCGAAGAGCGGGGUAGCUCUUCACCUAUGGCCUUCGAGUUGUGAGUCGGGUGAAGAGCAGGGUAGCUCUUUACCUUUGAGAUUUGAGAUCUGAGUCGUGGCAUAACCUUCGGGUUAGCCAAGCGGAUUGGGUAAUGAACUCAUGAUUGAUAUGCAUCCUGAGCAUAGUAGGCAUUGCAUUAUACUUGAUGUAGAGACACAGCAUCAUGUGAGUAGAGUACUUAAGAUGUUCAUUCAUUACUUUGUAUAUUGAGGCAUAGUAGCAUACUUGUAUAUUUCAUUACCAUGCAGCAGUUAUUUCCAGAUAUCUAUCUAUCUGCUUAUGCCUGCUUAGACCUAGUGGGAAGAUCGGCGGAGUCGGCGGCCGAACCCACUGGGAACUAUAUUUAUAUAGUUCUCACCCCACUUUGUUGCAGGGCCGAGNUGUUCAUUCAUUACUUUGUAUAUUGAGGCAUAGUAGCAUACUUGUAUAUUUCAUUACCAUGCAGCAGUUAUUUCCAGAUAUCUAUCUAUCUGCUUAUGCCUGCUUAGACCUAGUGGGAAGAUCGGCGGAGUCGGCGGCCGAACCCACUGGGAACUAUAUUUAUAUAGUUCUCACCCCACUUUGUUGCAGGGCCGAGUUCGAGCGUUCCGAGGGAGGAUCGCGGUAAGGGCAUAGCACCCUAGUUAGUUAGUAGUGGCUUUCCUUUUGUACUAGAGUACCCUCGUGUACUUAGGCUAUACAGAUGUAUUUUGGAGAGUACUUAUGCAUGUGAGAUGGAUAUGUAUCUAAAUGUUGAGAUGAACAUGUACUCAUUUUGGUGAGAUGAAAAUGUAAAUCACAUGUAUAAAUGGUUUAAUGUGAUGUAAUAGAUAGAAUUCUCUCUUUGUUCACUUGUAUGUAUACUCGUGUCUUGCUCUUUCUUGUUUGGCGCUUGUGACGCUUGUGGCGCUUCUUGGUUGAUCAAGUAUGUGUUUGAGUUCUUCCUGGGUGAAUUCUUGUACAUGAUCUCGUUGCUUAGCCUUGGGCGAACAGGGGAGGUGCUGUCCGUUCGGCGUCUGUUCGACGAGUUCGAACCGACCAAAUUGGCGGUCGCGGGCUGUACAAAUAGCACCAAGAUUUUCAGCCCUAGGAUGAAGGGAUGUGCGGUUAGGAUGAUAGUGGUCCCCUUGUGUUUUUUGGCACUCUCUGAUAAGCAUAAAGGUUUUCGUUGCCUCCAUCCAAGCACUGAUAAAGUUUUCAAUUCUAGACAUGUUUCUUACGUUGAAACUAUCUUUCAAAAUUUUCUACCUCUUCUAUACCUGUCUCUACCAUUUUAAUUUUUCAAAUGUUUCAAAAUUUUCUUUCUAAUCCUCCUUCACUGGGUGAGAAUCCUUCUACCAUUGAUGCUAUCUCUAGCUUCUAUUUCACAUGUCUUUCUACUGGUGCUGCUGCUUUUAAUACUUCUUCUAUAAGUGUACGUCCUCAGCCUGUUUCAUUAUCUGAGUCAUUAUUUCAAUUUCCUACCACCUUGAAUCAUGAUACCACAUAGGUUAGAGAUGAGAAUGAUGCUGCUACUGCUGGUCAGCCAAAACUCCGAAUCUAUACCAGACGGAACACCUUCAGGACUAUUGCAACCAUUCCCCCUACUGAUACGGAACCUCCAUUAUCUGACCUUCUACUUUCCACUCAACCUGAUACAGUCCAAUCAAUAGCAUCCUCCUCUUUACUUACUUUACCUAUUGAACCCUUUUUAACUUUCUGUACACAUUUAGACAUUCUAUAAUCACUCGAUCCAUAACAAAUGGUUUGCCUGAGUUUACCACCUUCCUGGCUUCUAAGUAUUCUAUUCUUCCUAUAGAGGCUAACUCCUUUACUGAGGUUUUUCAAGAUGAAAGUUAUUGUACAACCAUGGCUAAAGAAAAUAAUGCCUUAUUAGCUAAUUCUACGUGGGACUUAUUCCUCCUCCAUCAUCCAUCAAUCUCAUUCACUGUAAGUGGGUGUACAAAGUCAAGCAGAAAGCAGAUGGUUUCUUGAGCAUCUCAAAGCUCGUUUGUGGCUCAGGGCUACAAACAGCAACAUAGUAUUGACUUUGAUGGGGCUUUUUCUCCAAUGAUACUAUUCGUACUGAUCUUUUUGUUGCAUUCCCGUCUUGGUGCGGCAACUUGACGUGAAAAACACAUUUCUUCGUGGCACUCUUUGAGGAUGUUUAUAUGAAACAACCACCUGGCUUUGUAUAUCCUUCUCUUCCUCAUCAUAUUUACCGUCUACGCAAACGAUCUAUGGACACAAGCAGGCACCUCGGGCUUGGUUUUAGCUAUUUACUUUGUUUCUUUCUAAAAUUGGUUUUAUUGGAAGCACUGUUGAUCCCUCAAUUGUCAUUCCUCUUCUAACACUCGUCCUUUUCUUAUACGUCGAUGAUAUUAUUGUCACUGAAAGCUCCUACUCUCUUUUAGAGGCUCUUAUAGGAACCUUACAAUAGGAAUUUUUGAUGAAGGAUUUAGGGCCGCUAAAUUAUUUUUUGGGUAUUGAGGUUAAUCGUUCACUCUUUGGUCUUUAUUUGACUCAACAAAAAUAUGCGCCUCAACCAAGGUUUAAAGUACCGUGGCACGGGGGCGUGCCGCUGUCUGCCUGGCACCGUACGGCACCAGCACGCUUCCGUGCUGACACAUGAUACGUUUGCGUGCCAAUAUAUACGCUUGACCUCCUACUGGCACGUUUUGGCACGUACUUAUUUCAAUUUUUUUUAUUCCAAUAAGCUCUUAUAAUAUUAUUUUGAAAGAUGUUAUCAAAUAAUUAUGAAUAUUUGCUAUGUAUAACUUACUAUACUCAUCAAUUAACAUACUUGUAAGUUUUUUGUAUGUAAAGUACAAUUAUACCUGAUGCAGAAUAAAAAUUUUUACAGGUCAUAAUUUUUAAAAUGCAAAGACAUCUUUUUUAAUUUUUUUCUUUUUACCAUAUUACAGUCUUUCUUUUAUAAAAUACAAAAAAAUAAUUUAAAAAACUAUUUGAAAAAAUUAUUUUUUUAAUUAACUUUUCAAAAAAUUAGUAGACCUAUCAAAAAAAUUAAGCAAUAAAUUAUAUGACAAAUAAAUUAAAUAAAUUUAAGCAUCAAUUAAUUUAAUUUAGCUUUUAAUUUUUUCAGUAUUUUCAUCUUCUAGCGCAAAAAUAAAAUUUUAUGUUUGAUGUGGCUCAAAAUUUGUUUCUUAAGUUCAAUUUUGUUCUCUUAAUUCGUCAAAAAUUUCGCGAUGUGACAAAUUUUGAUAAAAUAAUUUGUGAAGAAAAAAUAGACAUCUGUGGUGAAAGCGGAGGGCUCGGACAAAUCUUUUGUCUGUAUAUUGAUAAACAAAAAAUUAAAUUAUAUUUUUUUUACUUACCUAAUAAAUAAAUUUUCGAUUUACAAUUUCUUUGGGGAGUGUGGGGUACCCAGAAUGCUUCGGAUACCCCAAAGAACAAAACAAAAAGAAAAAAAACAAAAAGCAAGAAAAAAAGCUAAAAAGAAAAAAAGAAAAAAAAAUCAGUGCCGGCACGGCACACUGCACCGUGCCUGUAAGGUACCGGACUUCCAAAAUUAUGAAGUUACGGUGUACAUUUGGUUGGAAAGCCAUUUGAAUGGUUUCAAUGAAGUUCGGUGAAGUUCGGGAGCAUUCGGGCAUUUCGGUGCACGUAGGUGCGAAAACGGAACACGAAGGGCUAUGUUGGACCAUGGACUAAAUCCGGCAUUAGCGUGGAUGGAAAGAUGAUGAAAUUACGCUCGAAAACAUGUUUUGAGAGUCUCGGUUCGAUUUGAAAAGAAUCGGAGGCCAAACGAGCGAAAACAAGCGAAAACGGAGAAGAAAGCUGAAAAUGCUGAAAUUUGGCUAAGUCUGGAAAUGCAGAAUUUUUGGACCUACGGGGUCCGGUCCCUCAAGCCAAGGACCGGUCCCCGAGAUCCGAAAAUACCCAGUUUGGUGCAGUUUGAAUAGUUGAGGGGGUUUCUUGCAAAUAGGGCAUAUGGGGGCUGUUAGAGAGGGUUGAAGCCUCUCUCUCUCUCACUCCCUCACCAUUUGCAACCCAACAAACACCCUCUCUCUCUCUUAGAAGCUCUCUCUCUCUCUUGGAGUUGAUCAAGAGGAAGGAGAAGAAGGAGAUUAGAGCUUGGAGGUAGAGCACCAUCAUCAUCUUCUUCCCUAGCUUGAAGAUGAUAGCUUUUAGAAGUAAGCUUUUGGAGCCCUCUCAUGGUGAAUGGUUAGGGCUUAGCUUAGACCUCUUGGAACCUAGCUAGUUGGAACUUAAUGAUGCUCUAGAAGUAAUUAAUCUCAUUUAUUGCUUGGGUUAAUGCUUAUAUGAAGCUAAUUGCAAUAGUGAGGUUUUUGGGCUCCAAAAAGAGGGCUUUUGCCAUGAGUAGUUUUGAUCUAAAUUGAUCACUCUCUAACCUAAUUGAUAGGUGUACGAACGCGAUGGCGAAGUCGGUUCGGCGAUUCGUCGAGCCUACGCGAAGUUAUCGGGAAAACAGCUUCAUUUCCGCCUGGAGGGCCGAGGCGAAUUCCUAAAAUCAUGAAAUCUGAUUCGUGGGCUCGUGGCAUCAAGUUAUAGACCUAUAAAUUCCGAGGCCGCGAAGCGACGCACGGUUGGUGAUCAAUCGCAAGAUCAGGCCGAAACGGACGACGAGUGCCACGGGAGGCCGAUUUCAAGUGACGACGAGCAAUCGGAACGCGAUAAAAGGUGGGGGGUGUCCAUCCCGAAGCAACUGAGCUUCUUCCUAUGUCCGAAUUAGAAUUGUUGAUCAUGUUCAUACAUUGUUCUUAUGCAUUAUAGGAUAUAUGUAUAGUAGCAUUUCUACUUCCUUGCAUGCAUGUCUAGUAGUGUAGCAUUGUGGGCUCGACACCUAAACCUAGAAUGCAUGAGGAUUAGGGUUGUGACAUGAGAUCCUAUAGUGAUAAGAAUUGGUGAACUUGAACUUGGUGAUGAAAACCAAUGAUAUGUGAAUUAGUGUAUUGGAAACACUUAUAACUUGGACGAGUGGCAUGUAAACAAUAUUUAUAACAUGACGAGUGGCAUUGGAACUUAGUGUAAUAGAAACACUUAUGGCAUUGAGCAUAAGGAAUAGAUGAGUUUCCUUAGUUGUGGCAUAUUGCAUGAGAAUUAAUGUAAUUGAGACACUAUGGCAUCAAACAUAGGGAUAGUUGAACUCCCUAGUGUGAGUUGAUUAGAGUGGUUGAGACACUUGACAUGGACCUAGGGAUAGGUGGAGUUCCGAGUGUUUGUUAACCCUAGUUGACAGGGUAUCCUCAGUUGGCGAGAAUUGGAUCAUACUCACAUAGUCUGUUUUGGGCUUGUGGUGGUCGCUCCACACAAGCAGUGCACUCCGGAGUUGUCACACGAGUUGAGCGGGGUAGCUCACCGGGUGGGAUACGAGCGGGAUAGCUCCUCACCCAUUGGACUGGGAAGUAAGUCGGGCGAAGGGCGGGGUAGCUCUUUACCUGUGAGAUUUGAGCGGGGUAGCUCUUUAUCUGUGAGAUUGGAGCGGAGUAGCUCUUUACAUUUGAGAUUUGAGAUAUUAGCCGGGGCGAAGAGCGGGGUAGCUCUUCACCUACUAAAACUGGGUGUGGAUACAUAUGAGAUUUGGGAUUUGAGUCGGGGCGAAGGGCGGGGUAGCUCUUCAUUUAGGACAUCUAAGUUGUGAGAUGGCUCUUCACCUAUGUGAUUUGAGAUCUUAGGCGGGUUAGCCUAGUGGAUAGGGUAAUGACAUGAAUUGCAUAAGUGGAUUUGCAUUCACACCAUGAUUAGACAUAGUAUAUGUUAGAGGAUUGCAUAACUAUGUUAUAUUUGUAUUCAUUACAUCGUUGAAGCAUACUAGUAUGAUGGUAGGCUUGUUGCUAGAUGAUAUUCCAUGCAUUGCUUGCAUUUGAUGGCAUAGUAGAGCAUAGUUGCAGUUUCAUUUCUAUCUAUCUAUCUAUCUAUCUAUCUGUGCCAGCUUAGACCUAGUGGGAAGAUCGGCGGAGUCGGCGGCCGAACCCACUGGGAACUAUAUUUAUAUAGUUCUCACCCCACUUUGUUGCAGGGCCGAGUGCGAGCAUCCCGGGGGAGGAUCGCGGUAAGGGCAUAGCGCCCUAGCUAGCUAGUAGAGUUUCUUAUUUGUACUAGAGCACCCUCGUGUACAUGUUUAUAGACAUGAUGUAUUUUGGAUAGUGCUUAUGUAUAUGAGAGGAUGAACAUGUAUUCAUUUUGGUGAGAUGAAAAUGUAAUUAAAAGAUGCAAAUGAGGAAUUGUGAUGUAAUAGUUAGAAUAUCUCUCUUUUUGUUUACUUACUGUGUUACUUACUUGCUCUUGUGUAUACUUGUGAAAGUACUCGCUUGCUAGAUCAUGUAUGUUGUUAAGUUUUUCCUGGGCAACUUAUUGUGCAUGAUCUUAUUUGUUUGAGCCUUGGGCGGACAGGGGAGGUGCUGUCCGUCCGGCGUCUGUUCGACGCGCCCGAACCGGCCAAAUUGGCAGGGCUCGGGGUGUGACAGUGCCGCUCUCUCUCGUGGGGCACGGCGCCGCGUGCAACGGCACGUUGGGGGGUCUGAUACCCCCUUGAAUCGUAUCACCUUCUUGGUGGCACGAUACGUUCCACCCUGUGCCGUACGGCACGGGACGACACUUUAAACCUUGGCCUCAACUGCUUGAGCAUCAUGGCUUUCUUGAUAGUAAGCCUUUUCUACUGUACUCCACUCUCUGCGAGCGCUCGUCUCUCAUCUCACGAGGGACGUCCCUUUGAGGAUCCCUACACUUAUCGUCAGAUGGUUGGCAAUACCUUACAUUCACACGGCCAGAAUCUCAUAUGCGGUCAAUUCUGUUACUCAGUAUCUACAUGCAUCUUGUGAGCCACACAUGCAAGUAGUUAUGUAUUCUCCGUUAUAUUCGAGGGGCGCUGUCUUAUGGCAUUCCUAUCUCCCGCAGCGCCAAUCCUUCACUUAUGGCUUUUUUAAAUGCUGAUUGGGCUAGGUGUCUAGACACGCUGGUCUACUUCAGGGUAUUGCAUUUUUUUUGGGCCUAAUCUCAUCUCAUGUUCGGCUAAGAAGCAACCUACUAUUUCUCGCUCUAGCUCUGAAGCGGAGUAUCGCUUUGUGACCUACACACUUGCCGAGAGUUUGGGAUCAGUCGUCGGCUCUAUGAUCUCGGUGUCUUCUUAUGGCGCACUAUUUGCAUCUAUUGUGAUAAUCUUAGCACCACACAUCUUGCUACCAAUCCUGUUCUACAAGCUCAAAUGAAGGACAUUGAACUUGACAAUCAAUUUUUACAGGAAAAAUUCCAAUCCGUGACUUGGAGUAAGUCCACAUCUUUCCUGAUAAGCAACUUGCUGACAUCUUUACCAAACCCUUGUCCCUUUCUCGGUUCUUCACGUUGCGGAUCAAUCUUCACAUCCGUCUAAUGGAUGCUUAGAUGUUAUGAUAUAUUUAGUAUGAUUACAAUAUGUCUAGUAUGAUAGGAUAUAUUAUAUAUUACUGCCAUAUAUAGUAUAGGUUUAUAUAUUUUCAUCAAUGCAACCUUAGAAGGGUAAGCUCCUUAGUCUGUCUUUCACACAUGACCAUAGUCUGCAUUGGGCCGAAUUGAGCACGAUUGCGAGCGGUUUGAUAUUAUGAUACUCAGUGGGAUCAUGCCCCUCAAGUGCCCCUCCGGAGCUAUGGCGGCUGACUAGAUAUAGGUAUACAUGUGCAAGUUGAGCCACCAAGUCAGUGUGGUUACCAGGCAUGCGGCGACGCAGGCUUAGCGGGACCUGUGAGCCGAACGGUGAGAUUGGGUCUUAUGACUUUGCUUAUCAGGUCUUUUGUUGAUGCAUAUUAUAUUUGAUCUCUAUUCUUCGAGAUUUUAUAGUAGGAAACUAAUUAUUAUUUGUUUGUUUCCACAGACACAGAUAGAGGCAUGUUAGUAUUUAUUUUCCUGCUCAUAUUAUGCUAAGCUGCUCGUUUAUUUAUUGUUCAUUUACUAUUCUUGCCUCUGAUAGAUUUAGUGGUGUAGGUCGUCGUUGUCGUCAACUGUACCCACUGAAAACUAUUGACUAUAGUUCUCACGUCCUCCUUUGUUGUUCCUUUUUUAGAGCAUUCGGCACUAGUUAUAGCAGCGGAUCGAGGUAAGGAGACAGCGAGCUAGAUAGUAUCGCCUACCCUGUUGUGCGAUAGCUAGAAAAGGACCCUAUAGAUCCAGUUUUAGGAUGUCGUUCAAUUCUGAUCGUUCAUUUUAUACCCACUUGACGGACUUUAUUAUAAUUUUGAAAAAUUAUGAAGUUUAUUUUCUAAAAGUUUUAAAUGAUCUAGAUCAUAUUUAACGAUAUAGAUCGUCGAUUUGGAAGCUCCAUCAUUGAAAACAACUUAUGAUUACAAAGAGCUCUAUACCUAUAAGGGUGCGUUUGGUUCGAGUUAUCCUGGUAGGAUUACAGGCAAUCCUGCCAGGAUUACUGUAUUUGGUUCAUCCGCUAUGUAAUCCAGUCGUUAAUAUAGCAUUACAAAUCGAGCAGGAUUACGCAGAAAAUAUUAACGAGAAGGGAGUCGUGUAUCUUGCAUUACUGAAAACCGGUAAUACUACAUAUUAUGUAAAAUAAAAAUUUUACCCUCUAACUCUCGAAACCCUUUCAAUACAUUAUUUUAAAAAUUUUAAUUUAAAAUUUUGAAUUGUCAACUUUUAAUUUUUAAUUUUUAAAUUUGAAUUUUUAAAUUUAAAAUUUAAAAUUUUUAAACUUCAAAUUUAAAUUUUAAAUUUUAAAUUUAAAUUAAAAUUUUAGAUUUUAAAUUAUAAGUUUAAAAUUUUAAAUUUUAAAUUUUAAGUUUAAAUUAAAAGUUUAGAUUUUAAAUUAUAAGUUUGAAAUUUCAAAUUUUAAAUUUCAAAUUUCAAAUUUCAAAUUUUAAAACACAAAUUUGUAUUUUAAAUUCUGAAUUUUAAUGUUUGUUAUUUGUAUAUAUAUUUAUAUUUAAAUUUGAUUUAAAUUAGGAACUUUAUUAUUGUGUAUGAAAUAUUUAAAGUUUUAUUGUUUGUAAAAAUUUAGAAUUAAUUUGAAAAUUUAAAUUUAUAAAAUUUAAAUUACAUUUAAAGAAAAAUUUUGGUUCCUAAAAUAUAAUUGUCGUACGUAUAAAAUUUUUGACAAAUAUAGAGACUAAGGGGCAAUUUUGGAAUAGAUUAUAUUUAAUAGUCUAAUUAGUAAAUUUAUAGAGCAAGAGCCAAAAUGUAUCGCUAUAAACGCUAUGCACUCCGCAAUAACAUUAUUGUAUACACAAACGCACUAAUACAGACGAGUAGUAUUCAUUUGAAUCCAAGAUCUGGUAUAUUGAAACUUCUGUAUAUUACUUAACUCGAAAACGCGCGCACUGAAGAGUGUUAGUAGUCCUUAAUUAUUAUUUAUAAUAUAUAUUAGUAUACAUAAUUAAAUAUUAUACUUUAUAUAUAGUAUAGGGGAGAGAGAGAGAGAGAGUUGUGUUAGAUUACUGUAAUAUAUUUGCCCCUUUUUGCUAUCAAUUUUACUUUGAUCAAUUCUUUGAAUCGUUUCUAACAUGUGAUUAAUAUAGAUGAUCCAUUUGGGAGCGCCACUCACCCUACGGACUUAAUGAUCGUAACCUACAAUUUCGCACCCCCGGUUAAAAAAGUUGAGUAGAAAAAGGGGACGAUUAUAUCACAACUUUCAACCCAACUCUCUCCCUCCCUUCUCAUUCUCUCAUCUCGAUCUCUCUCUUUAUAUAUAUAUGAUGUUAUAGUCCAGCUACUAUAUUCUACAUAAGUUACGGAUCGCCUUCGUACUAAGUGAAGUGUUUUCCAAUGAUAGGAGCUUCCAAAUCGUGAUCAACUUUAUCUGAGAUUUUUAAAAUUUUUUAAAAUCAAAUUUUAUAAUUUUUUGAUAUCAUUUACCUUAUGAUAAAAAUAUUAAAAUUUGUAUAUUUAUUACAUCGUAUAGUAAUACUUGCUAGAAUUUUAACGGUAUGUAAGAGAGAGUCACUCGGGUUGAAUUUUUCUGAUAGAAAAUUCUUUCACUAUCUUAGAUAAGUUCAAAUUAAUCCCGAUCAUAGAUUAAUAUCAUCGGUAUCAUUUUUUAACAACGUCUUGAUUUUGAACUAUGAUUUUUAUGCGCUUAAUGGACUUUAUUUGAAUUCAAAAAUUUACGAGAAUUCAAAAUUCUAGAAGUUUUUAAGAUACUACUAGAUACAUUUUGAUUGAUGUGGCUGUCGAUCGGAAGACAUCAUUAAAAAACAACUGUAUGAAUACAGAGGCUCUACGACUUACAAGGUAUAGUAAGCCCUACUCUAUUAUAUAUUAUAUACAUAUUCGAUAUAAUAUGAUAUAUAUAAUAUUAUAUAUAUAGGAUUAUGAUAAAUAUAUAGAAUCACCCUGCUAUCAUUUUAGGAGGAUAUGGGAAAUUCUCUAUCAAUUGUUUUAGGUGAUAGAGAUACCCGAGAUCAAUGGAUCGUAAAAACGUUGAAGUUAAUUAGAAGUAUUUGACAUUAUUAAGAAUACUUUUAUAAUUUUAAAUUUUUACAUAGUAUCAAAGGAAUUGAAAAAUUGAUGAGUUAUUUGACGGCUAUAUGAAGCCGUUUUCUUGUUUACGGUCCUGUAAGAUUAAUCCAAACUGUGCAUUUUUGACCUAGAAAUUUUUACUAUUUUAGAUUAAGUUCUAGAAUAACUUCGAUCGUAUGUGAAAUAGUCUAACCUAUGUUUUGCGAAGGUCAGUGGUUUCUGGACCGUAUUUUGUUUUUUUUAUUUUUAAUUUAUAUAUUUUCUUAUUCUUCUAUGUGACAUGAUAAUGAUUUUUAAACUUACCAAAUCCGGUUUCUAAUUAUUUCUAUAGCUGUUAGAUCAUAUCAACGUGACCGAUUAUCACAUUUAAAGUCAUCGAGUCAUCUAAAUUGACUUAAUCGGACAAAGGUUAUCAUUUGCAGGAUAGUAGCCCAGGGUUACAUUUUACUUAUCUAUAUUCCUGAAUAUAUUUAUAUAUGAGGAGAUGAUGAGAGAUCUGGAAGAGAGAGGAGAGGAGAGUGAUACGUGCUCCCGUGCGUUAUGAAUCCGGACCUUCAGAAUUGUAUAUUGUUUUCGAUGAUAGGACAUCCAAUUCGACGAUCUGCUCCGUUUAGGCUAAUUAUAACUAUUGAACGUACUAGAAAAAAUUUUAUAAUUCUUUCGACGGAUCAUUUAUCCAAGCGGUACAGGAGUUUUCAAAUGACUAUUGUAAGGCGCCAUGUGGUACGUUUUUAAGUUCAAGCGCUGCUGAAGUAUCCAAAUUCUGAACACUUUAAGUAGGAAAAUUCUCUUACUCAGGCAAAGUAACAUACUUUACUGAUUGGAAUGGUGGUCAUUUAUCAUUGUUUUUUGAUGAGAUUGUUUUUUUCCAGCCGUUCAUUUGAGGCUUAAUCGUCAAUAGGGCAAAUCGAAGUCAAACAAAUUUAUGAAAUUUGGUUUCUAGAAUAGUUCCAAAGCGUUAAUAUGUUUACACGGAAGCGUCGCCGAAUCGACGUUUAUUAAGAAAACAAUCUUAUCAAUGAACGGAGGCCUUCUCAUACUUUCAGAAAGCAUAGGAGCCUAGCUGCAAAAUUUAUAUAUAAUUAUGAUAUAUAUUAUUAUAUUAGGAGGGGAGGGAGAGAGGCUAGGUGUAUACUAUCGCUAAGGCACGAAAGGCUACCCGUAGUCGUUGUUUUCAUGAUUUGUAGCUUCAAAUGACAAUCACGGCUCGUAGACUUGAUUACACUAUUAAAAAUAUUUGGAAACUAAAUUCAUAAAUUCUUUGUUGACUCAUUACUAUACACCGACGGGUUAUCAAAAAUGCUAUUUUAACGGCCAGUGGUACGUUUUAAGUUCAACGGUGUAGAAGUAUCCAAAUUACAUGAAACUGUUAAUAGAAAAUUCUACUAACAUCAAGAGCAAGAACAAUACUUGCUGAUUGAAAUUUGAGUCAUUUAAUCAUUGUUUUUGAUGAGAUUUUUAUUUUCAGCCGUUCAUUUUGAGGCUACUCGUUCACUAGGCAAACGAAGUCAAAAAAUUAAUGAAAUUUGGUUUCUAGAUAGUUCAAUAGGCGUAGAUCAUGUUUAACGCGAACCGAUCGCCAAUCGGACGUCCUAUCAUUGAAAACAAACUUACAAGCACGGAGGCUCCGUACUUUCGAAAGCAUAGGAGCCUAGCUCUAUAUAUAUAUUAUAUAUAUAAUAUAUAUAUAUAAAGAGAGAGAGAGACGAGAGAGAGAGAGCUAGGCUGCCGUAUACUAUCGUAGCACGAGGUCCUCCGUGCUACAGUUGUUUUCAAUGAUGUAGCUUCAAAUCGACAAUCGGCUCCGUUAGACUUGAUCUACACUAUUAAAAUAUUGGAAACUAAAUUUCAUAAUUUUUUCGACAUCAUUUACCUAUCAAACGAGUAGUCUAAAAAUGAAUGGCUGAAAAUAAAAUCUCAUAAAAAAUGAUGAUAAAAGACUUGAACUUAAGAUUAGAGGUACUGAUCUUACUCUAAAUAGUGAAAAGAAUUUUCAAUAAAAAUUUCAUUAGAUUUGGAUUGUUUUACACCGUUAAAUUCACAAACGCAUCACAUCGACCAUUAAAAUUGUCAAUUUUGAGACCUUUUGAUCACUAGCCAAAUGANUCACAAACGCAUCACAUCGACCAUUAAAAUUGUCAAUUUUGAGACCUUUUGAUCACUAGCCAAAUGAUGUCGAAAAAU
rnacentral:lncRNA from 1 species